rnacentral:rRNA from 1 species
GACGAACGCUGGCGGCGUGCUUAACACAUGCAAGUCGAACGGAAAGGCCCUGCUUUUGUGGGGUGCUCGAGUGGCGAACGGGUGAGUAACACGUGAGUAACCUGCCCUUGACUUUGGGAUAACUUCAGGAAACUGGGGCUAAUACCGGAUAGGAGCUCCUGCUGCAUGGUGGGGGUUGGAAAGUUUCGGCGGUUGGGGAUGGACUCGCGGCUUAUCAGCUUGUUGGUGGGGUAGUGGCUUACCAAGGCUUUGACGGGUAGCCGGCCUGAGAGGGUGACCGGCCACAUUGGGACUGAGAUACGGCCCAGACGCCUACGGUAGGCAGCAGUGGGGAAUAUUGCACAAUGGGCGGAAGCCUGAUGCAGCAACGCCGCGUGCGGGAUGACGGCCUUCGGGUUGUAAACCGCUUUCGCCUGUGACGAAGCGUGAGUGACGGUAAUGGGUAAAGAAGCACCGGCUAACUACGUG